CCUACGGGGGGCUGCAGUAGGGAAUCUUCCACAAUGGGCGAAAGCCUGAUGGAGCAACGCCGCGUGGGUGAAGAAGGUCUUCGGAUCGUAAAACCCUGUUGUUAGAGAAGAAAGUGCGUGAGAGUAACUGUUCACGUUUCGACGGUAUCUAACCAGAAAGCCACGGCUAACUACGUGCAAGCAGCCGCGGUAAUACGUAGGUGGCAAGCGUUAUCCGGAUUUAUUGGGCGUAAAGGGAACGCAGGCGGGCUUUUAAGUCUGAUGUGAAAGCCUUCGGCUUAACCGGAGUAGUGCAUUGGAAACUGGGAGACUUGAGUACGGAAGAGGUGAGUGGAAUUCUAUGUGUAGCGGUGAAAUGCGUAGAUAUAUGGAAGAACACCAGUGGCGAAAGCGGCUCUCUGGACUGUAACUGACGCUGAUGUUCGAAAGCGUGGGUAGCAAACAGGAUUAGAUACCCCGGUAGUC
rnacentral:rRNA from 1 species